rnacentral:rRNA from 1 species
GACGAACGCUGGCGGCGUGCCUAAUACAUGCAAGUCGAGCGCGUGAAAUUCGCGGAUCUCUUCGGAGUGAUGCGGAUGGAUCGAGCGGCGGACGGGUGAGUAACACGUGGGCAACCUGCCCGUAAGACUGGGAUAACUUCGGGAAACCGAAGCUAAUACCGGAUAGGCUUUCGCACCGCAUGGUGCGAAAGGGAAAGGUGCUUCUGGCAUCACUUACGGAUGGGCCCGCGGCGCAUUAGCUAGUUGGUGAGGUAACGGCUCACCAAGGCGACGAUGCGUAGCCGACCUGAGAGGGUGAUCGGCCACACUGGGACUGAGACACGGCCCAGACUCCUACGGGAGGCAGCAGUAGGGAAUCUUCCGCAAUGGACGAAAGUCUGACGGAGCAACGCCGCGUGAGUGAGGAAGGUCUUCGGAUCGUAAAGCUCUGUUGUCGGAGACGAACAAGCGUCAUAGGAAAUGAUGGCGCCAUGACGGUAUCCGACCAGAAAGCCCCGGCUAACUACGUGCCAGCAGCCGCGGUAAUACGUAGGGGGCGAGCGUUGUCCGGAAUUAUUGGGCGUAAAGCGCGCGCAGGCGGCUCCUUAAGUCUGGUGUGAAAGCCCGCGGCUCAACCGCGGAGGGUCAUUGGAAACUGGGGAGCUUGAGUGCAGGAGAGGAGAGUGGAAUUCCACGUGUAGCGGUGAAAUGCGUAGAGAUGUGGAGGAACACCGGUGGCGAAAGCGGCUCUCUGGCCUGUAACUGACGCUGAGGCGCGAAAGCGUGGGGAGCAAACAGGAUUAGAUACCCUGGUAGUCCACGCCGUAAACGAUGAGUGCUAGGUGUUAGGGGGGUCCAACCCCUUAGUGCUGAAGUUAACACAUUAAGCACUCCGCCUGGGGAGUACGACCGCAAGGUUGA